AACAGAAGUAUUAGCUCGGAACUCAUCAGUGUUGAAGUUGAAUCACCCAACGCUCCUGACCUGACAUUGACUGUCUUGCCCGGAAUUGUAAGAGUUGCAGUUGGAAAACAACCCCAGAACUUUGGAAAAAAGAAGUCACACUUAAAAUGGAGAAAAUGGGUUGCAAUAUUCCAGAAGAUGAUCAAGCCAAGUCGAUAGUCCUGCACAAGUCUCUUCAGGCGGUUGGAGAGGAACCGACGCUUCUCGAAGAUACCUGCCUCUUCCAUCAGCAACAUCUCAAUCUGAUCCUUGCGCUGCAGCAACAGGAGCAUUUUACAUUGUAGCUUGUCUGCCAGCUCCUGCAGCAGGUGAAAGUUAAUGGCCAUUGGCACUAUAUCAGCCAGUCGGUUCAAAGCAAUCUGAAAUAUAAAGUGGAUCCACCGUCAACCUUCUGCAAGUCUUUGCUGCAGGUGAGGACUGAGGCUUUUAAAGAUUGGAUUUUUAGCUUUAUUUGUCACAUGUGCAUGGAAACAUCAAAACAUGUAGUGAAAUGCCUGCAGUCCAAGGAUUGUGCUGGGGGCAGUCUCAAGUGUGGCCUUGCUUCCAGCGCCAACAAAGCAUGUCUCCAACUCACUAUCCUAACGGCCUGAGCACCGAGAGGAAUCCCAUGCUGUCACAGGGAGAAUAUACAAACUCCUUACAGGCAGCAGUGGAAAUAGAACCCAGAUUAGUGAUCAGUGGUGCUGUAAAGCAAUUGCACGAACUGCUGUGCUACCAAGUCACCCUUUUGAAGUAUCUUGUGUACUAUGGGUGCACAACAUUGUGGUAUUAUGACGUACUAAGGAAAAGGUAAGAGAGAAAAUACACUGUACUACAUUAACCAGGUUUACCAGAGUCUUAUUUCCUGGUGCCAGAGUCUUUUUGCAGACUCAGUCGACUAUUUCCAGUCCGUCUGCAAAACAGGUUAUCCUUCCUCUUUUUUUCAGUCUCUCUUUUCUUCUCAAUGUGUCUGGGGUCCUGUUGGAGUCCGUGAUCUACAGAUUUAGCUCAGACUAUGGUUUUCUACGCGCAGUGAAUUCCUGUUUUCGGACUCGCCGUGUGGCCUGGUGUUUCGAUAUCUCCAGGUGUGGCCUGGAAGAGGUGUGCCUUUGGGUGUAGCCCUGUGGACAGCCUGAAGGCCCCUGCACUCGAUCCCUCUCUUUCUCUUGAUGGUGAGUAAAGGUCAGUCAGUCCUCGAGUCGGGGAGCUCAGACAAGCAACAUGGCAGAUUGUAACAUCGAAACAGUGAGCUGUUCGUCUCCCCUCUUUUUGUUGCAGGAGCAAUAACUCUCUGCCACUUGCUAGUGAGAGGGAGAAACUGUCUGAGAUUUUGAAGUGUUGGGAUGGACAGUAGUUUUGAUGGACUCCAGAUUGUG